GACGAACGCUGGCGGCGUGCCUAAUACAUGCAAGUCGAACGAGUGGCGGACGGGUGAGUAAUGUCUGGGAAACUGCCCGAUGGAGGGGGAUAACUACUGGAAACGGUAGCUAAUACCGCAUACCAUCGGAUGUGCCCAGAUGGGAUUAGCUAGUAGGUGGGGUAACGGCUCACCUAGGCGACGAUCCCUAGCUGGUCUGAGAGGAUGACCAGCCACAAUGGAACUGAGACACGGUCCAGACUCCGACGGGAGGCAGCAGUGGGGAAUUUUGGAGAAUGGGGGAAACCCUGAUCCAGCCAUGCCGCGUGUAUGAAGAAGGCCUUCGGGUUGUAAAGUACUUUCAGCGAGGAGGCGUUACUCGCAGAAGAAGCACCGGCUAACUCCGUGCCAGCCGCGGUAAUUC
rnacentral:rRNA from 1 species